GAUGAACGCCGGCGGUGUGCCUAAUACAUGCAAGUCGAACGCGUUGGUCCAAUUGAUUGAUGGUGCUUGCACCUGAUUGAUUUUGGUCGCCAACGAAUGGCGGACGGGUGAGUAACACGUAGGUAACCUGCCCAGAAGCGGGGGACAACAUUUGGAAACAGAUGCUAAUACCGCAUAACAGCGUUGUUCGCAUGAACAACGCUUAAAAGAUGGCUUCUCGCUAUCACUUCUGGAUGGACCUGCGGUGCAUUAGCUUGUUGGUGGGGUAAUGGCCUACCAAGGCGAUGAUGCAUAGCCGAGUUGAGAGACUGAUCGGCCACAAUGGGACUGAGACACGGCCCAUACUCCUACGGGAGGCAGCAGUAGGGAAUCUUCCACAAUGGGCGCAAGCCUGAUGGAGCAACACCGCGUGAGUGAAGAAGGGUUUCGGCUCGUAAAGCUCUGUUGUUAAAGAAGAACACGUAUGAGAGUAACUGUUCAUACGUUGACGGUAUUUAACCAGAAAGUCACGG
rnacentral:rRNA from 2 species